GAUGAACGCUGGCGGCGUGCCUAAUACAUGCAAGUAGAACGCUGAAGGAGGAGCUUGCUCUUCUGGAUGAGUUGCGAACGGGUGAGUAACGCGUAGGUAACCUGCCUGGUAGCGGGGGAUAACUAUUGGAAACGAUAGCUAAUACCGCAUGACAACAGUUAUUGCAUGAUAACUGUUUAAAAGGGGCAACUGCUCCACUACCAGAUGGACCUGCGUUGUAUUAGCUAGUUGGUGAGGUAACGGCUCACCAAGGCGACGAUACAUAGCCGACCUGAGAGGGGGAUCGGCCACACUGGGACUGAGACACGGCCCAGACUCCUACGGGAGGCAGCAGUAGGGAAUCUUCGGCAAUGGACGGAAGUCUGACCGAGCAACGCCGCGUGAGUGAAGAAGGGUUUCGGAUCGUAAAGCUCGGUUGUAAGAGAAGAACGAGUGUGAGAGUGGAAAGUUCACACUGUGACGGUAUCUUACCAGAAAGGGACGGCUAACUACGUG
rnacentral:rRNA from 1 species